GUAUUCACUUCAGCAGCACAUAUACUAAAACCAGAACGAUACAGAGGAGAUUAGCAUGGCUGCUAAGCAAGAAUAAGAAGCUAAUUCAUGAAAUGUUCCAUGUUUUU
ensembl:snRNA U6 U6 spliceosomal RNA